rnacentral:misc_RNA from 1 species
CAUCCCAUCCUACAACUUUUACAUUUAGUUAGAUACUUGGGUUGAAAACAGAUUCUAAACAAACACUGACAUCCCAUCCUACAACUUUUACAUUUAGUUAGAUACUUGGGUGGAAAACAGAUUAUAAACAAACACUGACAUCUCAUCCUACAACUUUUACAUUUAGUUAGAUACUUGUGUGGACAACAGAUUCUAAACAAACACUGAUAUCCCAUCUUACAACUUUUACAUUUAGUUAGAUACAUGGGUUGAAAACAGAUUCUAAACAAACACUGACAUCCCAUCCAGAAUAAAUUUGUCCACAUUUUAUCCACUUGAACCACUUAAGCUGAUGUUCAGCAUCUGAUCCUAGGUACCAUCUCGGUAUCGGAGGAAUUUGACCAUUGACCUUCACUGCAUUCGCUUGGGCCUCACAACGACUUCCAUAAGAAGCCAGCGUAAACUUAUCUUCGUGAUAGCAACAUCUUGUGUCCACUAUCAUUCCGAAUUCAAUUUCGUUAUCUGGUAUUCAAAGUAACUGUUCUGUUACUGUAACAGAGACUGUUUUAGGUGAUUUUUCUUCUUCAACAAGUACUACUCAGUGGGUGGAAAACUAAUCGAUAAUAUUUUGAAAGAAAAUAUCUGACGUUGACCACAAUCUUUGCUAAGUGUAUUUACGUUUAACAUUUCAAUUUUUUAAGCGGUUAUUGUUUUAUAUAAAUUGAAGAGAAAAAAAUCACCUCAAAAUUUUCAGCAGAUAUAGAAGACAGAUAACACUAAGCAAAAUUUCUGAUGACACAACUUUACUCCUGGUGGUCAUAACAAUAACUUAACAUAAAAGAGUUGUAAGAAAAUAUACAUGUUCGAUUCCUUAAAACUACCAAUUGAGAAUUAUUUCCAUCAGGUGAGAUGAUUUAAAAAAAGGCAACUCAGGUAUAAAUACUGUGGUGUACACAGAAGUUUCAAACUAAAACUUACUGAAUCGAGCUAAUUAACUUUACGUGGCUAUCUUCAAAAGGUUUAUAACACAGCAUCAGAUAAUUCUCGUCAGAACAUUUCUUGUCCCAACAAAAGCCGGUGUUAUUGUUACUCAUCACCACUGCGGAAAAACUACGAAACAUGUGUACUCGUGUGAAUAUGACCGAGAUUCACUGUGACGUCACGUUCCCGGGAUUUGAGCUGCCUGCGUAGAUCUUGCGCAGUAAGUUGUAUUAGCUGUUGCAGGCAACAGCAAGGCGAGUGGCUGGAUAACUUAUUGCAAACAUUUUGGUGCUUUUCAGGUAUCGAAGCUCGCAAAAUUUGUGAUAUUCAUCUACAAUAGCAUUAGGAAUACGCAGAGUUCUGUAGCAGCAGAGAGGCUCGCUGAUUAUCGUGGAGGAACUGACGCUAGUCCUAGCGUAUCUCUAAAAGACAUAGACGGGACAAUUACCGGUAGCAUGUCCGGCUGCAUCACUGGAGGCCAGGAGACUGAUCCGUCACCUAGCUCAAGUCAUCAUGAUCAACCAACAAGUAGAGAAACUUCUAAGAUGCUUGGUGUCCCUGAUCUUCUCUUUGUGCACACGUGCCUUGAAAUCCAUAGGAGUCAAGUCCAGAAAUCUUGGGAUCCAUUCCUAGCAACCACAUCUGCCUAUCCAAUGUCCUGGGAAGAGGUCAUUCAACCAAACUCGGACUUCCGAGCUGCAAAUCACCUAUUGUUCCAGACUUUUCGGACACUUUGUAGUUGUGUAAAUUAAAAUAUUAAAACAUGCUUGAACAUUAUUAUCAGUAGUAAGUUUACAGAUUUAGAACGUUAAAAUUUGGGGAUCUAUCCCUGCCAGUGGGCAAAGUGCAGAUAGUUUAUAUUGUAGCUCUCCCUAACUUUAUGAUUUGUUGAGUAACCUUUGAUUCCUUUCAUACUUCUGUUAAGUUCAGCUUGAACUCCAACAUGAGACGGUCACCUUGAUAGGUUUCUGAUAAUUAUCUGGUGGCUGUCAUUGUGUAUGUGUUUUAAUAACGUCUGUACUUACUAAGUUACAACUUUAAGAAAAUGAAAUAUUAUAAAACACAUCAAGUCCAUAUCUAAUUAUCAAAAUGUAACUGUUUCAGGUAACUUACACUUUUACAAGUGUUUUAGGACUUAUUUUCUUAAGUUAGCAAGGAAGAGUGUUGUGAAUAAGUCAGAUUGUAAAUGUGCACCAUGGAUCAAUCCUGUAUUGGAGAAGUUAUGUUGAUUAUAAUUCCGAAUAUCUGAAAUGUAUCUUCGUGAAAUGUGGCAAGUUUUUAAUCAACAGUACAGAUCUGUUGUACGCAAAAAAAAAUCAGAUGUGUUACUAAAGUUUUUGUACUAAAGAAGUGCGUGUGAAAUGUCUGACUCGGACUAUGAUAACUGCAUGGUGAUGUUCACGUGAAGACUGACUUUGGUAUUCCAAACAUAUCUUAAGUCCAAAUCUUUAGUAGCACAUCAGAGAUUUUUUUGUUGACUAAAAACUUGUCUCGUUUCAUAAAGUCACAUGCAAUAAAUUCAGAAUUAAAGUUAACAUUACUUACUCGAUACUUACUCGUCCAAUGGCCAUUCAGUUAAUGAUUGGCUGCUGAAGUUGGGAUAAUUAAUUGUAUGGAAUAUAGAU